rnacentral:rRNA from 1 species
GAUGAACGCUGGCGGCAUGCUUAAUACAUGCAAGUCGAGCGGACAGACGAGGUUCUUGCUGCUGGCACGUUAGCGACGGGUGGGUAAGUAACCCGUGGAUGACCUACAUAUAAGGCUGGGACAACUACGGCCACAUGGAGCUAAUACCGGAUAAUAUAUUGAACCGCAUGGUUCAAUUGUGACUGACGGUUUUGCUGUCACUUCUAGAUGGUACCGAGCCGCAUUAGCUAAUUGGUACGGAAACGGCUUACCAAGGCAACGAUGCGUAGCCGACCUGAGAGGGUGAUCGGCCACACUGGAACUGAGACACGGGCCAGACUCCUACGGGAGGCAGCAGUAGGGAAUCUUGCGCAAUGGGCGAAAGCUUGACGCAGCAACGCCGCGUGGGUGAUGAAGGUCUUCGGGUCGUAAAGCACUGUUAUCAGGGAAGAACAAAUGUGUAAGUAACUAAGCACGUCAUGACGGUACCUGAGGAAAAAGCCACGGCUAACUACGUG